rnacentral:misc_RNA from 1 species
GCUGCUAGUGACGUUGUGGAAUGGAUAGUGGUGAACGGUGUAGAGUGAAUUUUCGGACAUGUUUUCAUUCGGUCAUCUCUAAGUCGCUGAUGUGUCAAGAAGGAUGAGAGGGACACGUGAGAGAGCAUUGUUGUUUCGCAUUCUCGUAGUUGGAAAGGAAACAGAUCUCGAUACAAAGCGUCUGACCACCGAGUGAAGCUGAGACAAAUACAUCACCGAUGGCGGACCGGUCAUGAGACUGUUAUACACUGGAGGAGGCUACGAGGACGUGGGGCAACAAUAGUAUCGAGAUCUUCUUCAGAAAGCUGACAGCUGCGGCAGUUCUGCAUGGGCUGUGAGAGCAUCCAUGGCCUCUCGGAUCCUGCUUGCGGCUGCAGUCUGCACAUCUUGGGACGGAGCAGCAGCGCCAGCUGAGGCCUGAGAGAGCUGCUGUCGGAGUCUGGUGUUCAUCUCCAGUAACAGAUGAGAUACAAAGCGUCUGACCACCGAGUGAAGCUGAGACAAAUACAUCACCGAUGGCGGACCGGU